UGCCAAGAAAAAUGUCCUCAGAACUACACAAAAUAUUAUCUGAUAUUACAAAAAUUGUAAUAUUGUUGGACACAAACCACCUAAUUCACGAUUAUUUGAGGCAUAUUCUGAAGAAAUAGGUUCCCAGUAUUCACACCUUCUUCACGCUGAAGUGAGAUGACUUUCGAGGGAAAAAAUAAUAACCCAAUUGUUCGCUCUGCGUGAAAAGAUUAAAUUAGUUUUCCAUCAGCAAAAUAAUUCGAAAUCAAAUAUACGAUGGAGAAAGACAAGAGAUUUCAGCAAUUGUUCAACAACAUAAUUUACAAUCACUCACAGAAUCUUUCGAUCGUUAUUUCCCCCCCUCUCCCAAAAAAAGGUGCUAGACAUGGGAAUAUGUGAAUAAUAUAUCCAUUUGCAGCAAACAUCUAAAAUAACAAUUAAAAUAUGAACGAAAAAGAAACCCUAACUAAUUUAUCAUCCGAUCGCACUCUCAAAGCAAAAUCCAAAUUAUUCUUAUCAAAGUCUAAUUUUUGGCUCUACGUUAAAAAAGAAAACCCAUUGCUGAGUGACAAAGAAAUGCAAAUUUUAAUUCAAUUUUCAACAACUUAUUUAUACAAAAACCAUUUUCAUCUAUUAUAGUUAUUAAAACUUGGUACCGGUAUUGGCUUGAAAUAAAUAGAGUUCUAUGUCUUUCAAUAACUUGAUUGGAGCUAAAACUACACACAAUUAUUAAAAACAAGCAGGAACAAAUAUCAAAUUAAGAUUAAAAAUGUAUUAUAGUUUUCUGUUCUGUAUCUAAAUAAAGCUUAAAUUGUUUU